rnacentral:rRNA from 1 species
CCUACGGGGGGCAGCAGUAGGGAAUCUUCCGCAAUGGGCGAAAGCCUGACGGAGCAACGCCGCGUGAGUGAAGAAGGUUUUCGGAUCGUAAAGCUCUGUUGUAAGAGAAGAACGAGUGUGAGAGUGGAAAGUUCACACUGUGACGGUAUCUUACCAGAAAGGGACGGCUAACUACGUGCCAGCAGCCGCGGUAAUACGUAGGUCCCGAGCGUUGUCCGGAUUUAUUGGGCGUAAAGCGAGCGCAGGCGGUUAGAUAAGUCUGAAGUUAAAGGCUGUGGCUUAACCAUAGUACGCUUUGGAAACUGUUUAACUUGAGUGCAAGAGGGGAGAGUGGAAUUCCAUGUGUAGCGGUGAAAUGCGUAGAUAUAUGGAGGAACACCGGUGGCGAAAGCGGCUCUCUGGCUUGUAACUGACGCUGAGGCUCGAAAGCGUGGGGAGCAAACAGGAUUAGAUACCCGAGUAGUC